UAACCGGUUGAACAACUGAACC
rnacentral:miRNA from 4 species